rnacentral:rRNA from 4 species
AAAACGACUCUCGGCAACGGAUAUCUCGGCUCUCGCAUCGAUGAAGAACGUAGCGAAAUGCGAUACUUGGUGUGAAUUGCAGAAUCCCGUGAACCAUCGAGUCUUUGAACGCAAGUUGCGCCCGAAGCCAUCAGGUUGAGGGCACGUCUGCCUGGGCGUCAAAC